rnacentral:sRNA from 2 species
CCUAUACUACAACGGCACGGCGAAUACACAAUAACCGUCGAGUGACAAUAUCUCCGAGCAGAUAUUUAUGAUUUUGACGGUAUUUCGCGGAUCCAGGGCUUUCCAUCUAUUCGACCACUGGUAAAUGGAAAUGCCGAGAUCGACUGUCUAUAACCAUCAGUGAUCCAGCUGGGUACUUGCAUAAUUUAGACUGCACUAGCCUGAUUACUCAGGAUUGGUGAUACUGUAUAUUUGGUGGGCUGUCGCGCAAAGCUGCCGGAGACAAGACGCACACCCGAGACACAGGGCAAGCAUGGUUGCAGUCAGGACAUCAUAUACGGGUCUGAAAGAAGUGAUCACCCAUCAUAAGUAUAAGGUUGAAGCGGUUUGCAUCAGACAGCAGACCUUUUCUUCUUGCCAAAAAUACAAAAGUUACUCAGUUGGUGGAGAAAAAAUACAAGGGAAAUAGAUGAGAAAGGGGUGAGGCUGGUUAAGAAGACGAGGAUACAGUGGCAAGGAUCUCGCACUAAUCCGGAAGCGGAAAUCCCUAUCUUCCAGAAGCAACCUAGGUAAGUUAACAUAUUUUAGCGUUCUUGUUUUCUGCUGACGGGGUGAUUACAUUGCAGACCUGAUUAUUGGCUAAGCAAUACCCCAUUAUGCAUGGGUGAGUUGGAGGCGCUAAUCGGACUACGGGUACAGACACGCUGGCUCCCGCCCUCUCCAGCGAAGGAAGUAUAUAAUUUUUCAAGAUUUUCAUGCAUGAAGUGAUAGAUUCUUUCAUUCACCGUCAUAUUACAAUAUGUCAAUAUUCAUCAAAGUAUCUGUGCUAAGACACAAUAUAGCUAGAGAGAUAAAGAAUUCUAAUAUGGUAAUUCUGUGUUGAUUGAAAUGGCUAAACCCAUUGAAAUCAGCAUACUGUACAUAUUGUCUGCUCUGCGAGAAUGUAUUCGCAUGAGGAACUUUUCACAAGUGUAAAACUAUUUAAUCUUUUCAAGA